UACGGGGGGGAGCAAGCGUUACUCGGAAUUACUGGGCGUAAGGGCGCGUAGGCGAUUCGAUAAGUCUUGUGUGAAAGCCCCCGUGCUUAACGCGGGAAGUGCAUAAGAUACUGUAGAAAUUGAGUUCCGGAGAGGAAGAUGGAUUCCCGGUGUAGCGGUGAAAUGCGUAGAUGAUCGGGGGGAACACCAGUGGCGAAGCGAUCUUCGUGGACGGAUACUGACGGCUGAGGCGACGAAAGGCUAGGGGAGCAAACGGG
rnacentral:rRNA from 1 species